rnacentral:lncRNA from 1 species
GGGUUUCCGUAAAGGGCUGAUGGAGAGGGAGAGAAGCCUCCCUGGUUUCCUGGCUCUUGUAUAAAGGGAAUUGCUAUUAACUGCAGUGGGACAUGGCGGGGACCGCGUUCCCGGGAAGCAAAUACGCUUUCAUCGCCGGGGCUUUGGGCCAACACUCCGGUUCAUGGUAGCAACCAAAAUAAUGCAACCCAGAUAAGACUCACUGGAAAGUAAGCAGGACCA